UUUGAAGUUUUAUUCCUGGCUCAGGACGAACGCUGGCGGCGUGCCUAAUACAUGCAAGUCGAACGAACUCUGGUAUUGAUUGGUGCUUGCAUCAUGAUUUACAUUUGAGUGAGUGGCGAACUGGUGAGUAACACGUGGGAAACCUGCCCAGAAGCGGGGGAUAACACCUGGAAACAGAUGCUAAUACCGCAUAACAACUUGGACCGCAUGGUCCGAGCUUGAAAGAUGGCUUCGGCUAUCACUUUUGGAUGGUCCCGCGGCGUAUUAGCUAGAUGGUGGGGUAACGGCUCACCAUGGCAAUGAUACGUAGCCGACCUGAGAGGGUAAUCGGCCACAUUGGGACUGAGACACGGCCCAAACUCCUACGGGAGGCAGCAGUAGGGAAUCUUCCACAAUGGACGAAAGUCUGAUGGAGCAACGCCGCGUGAGUGAAGAAGGGUUUCGGCUCGUAAAACUCUGUUGUUAAAGAAGAACAUAUCUGAGAGUAACUGUUCAGGUAUUGACGGUAUUUAACCAGAAAGCCACGGCUAACUACGUGCCAGCAGCCGCGGUAAUACGUAGGUGGCAAGCGUUGUCCGGAUUUAUUGGGCGUAAAGCGAGCGCAGGCGGUUUUUUAAGUCUGAUGUGAAAGCCUUCGGCUCAACCGAAGAAGUGCAUCGGAAACUGGGAAACUUGAGUGCAGAAGAGGACAGUGGAACUCCAUGUGUAGCGGUGAAAUGCGUAGAUAUAUGGAAGAACACCAGUGGCGAAGGCGGCUGUCUGGUCUGUAACUGACGCUGAGGCUCGAAAGUAUGGGUAGCAAACAGGAUUAGAUACCCUGGUAGUCCAUACCGUAAACGAUGAAUGGUAAGUGUUGGAGGGUUUCCGCCCUUCAGUGCUGCAGCUAACGGC
rnacentral:rRNA from 2 species